UCCCAACUCAGGAGAGACAGAUGGGCAGA
rnacentral:piRNA from 2 species